AGCUUUAUGCAGUGGCAGUAUUGUAGCCAAUGAGGUUUAUCUGAGGCGCAAUUAUUGCUAAUUGAAAAAAAGGCCAUAUAAUCUGAAUAGACAUUUCUUAAAAGGACGCAUAUAAAUGGCC
rnacentral:snRNA from 1 species